rnacentral:pre_miRNA from 1 species
UGGCUUUGUGCUAAAUCAAACUUUCUAACUUUGACCCCAAGUUUAAAAAUUAUAAUAACAUCUAUAAGUUCAAAUAAAUGCAAUACCAAAACUUGUUUCAUGGAGAAUUUGAUGAAACUAAUUUGAUGGUAUAUAUGUUGGUGGAUUUUUCUAUAAACUUGGUCAAAGUUAAGAGAAGUUUGACUUGGGACAAAACCAA